rnacentral:rRNA from 1 species
AGAGUUUGAUCCUGGCUCAGAACGAACGCUGGCGGCGUGGAUAAGACAUGCAAGUCGAACGCUGAUUACGAGGUAGCAAUAUUUCGUGGUCGGAGUGGCGCAAGGGUGCGUAACACGUGGGUAAUUUGCCGUGAAGCCCGGAAUAACUCGCUGAAAGGCGAGCUAAUACCGGAUGUGAUUUUUGGGAGGCAUCUUCCGAAUCUUAAAGCUGGGGACCGUAAGGCCUGGCACUUCUCGAUAAGCCCGCGGCCUAUCAGCUAGUUGGUGAGGUAACGGCUCACCAAGGCUAAGACGGGUAGCUGGUCUGAGAGGACGACCAGCCACACUGGAACUGAGAUACGGUCCAGACACCUACGGGUGGCAGCAGUCGAGAAUUUUUCACAAUGGGCGAAAGCCUGAUGGAGCGACGCCGCGUGGGGGAUGAAUGGCUUCGGCCCGUAAACCCCUGUCAUUUGCGAACAAACCUCGUUAUUUAAAAGAUGACGAGCUGAUUGUAGCGAAAGAGGAAGGGACGGCUAACUCUGUGCCAGCAGCCGCGGUA